rnacentral:lncRNA from 1 species
CCCAUCUCUCAUAUCAGACGUGAUAUAAAUGUCCUCCCAUCUCUCAUAUCAGACGUGUUAUAAAUGUCCUCCCAUCUCUCAUAUCAGACGUGUUAUAAAUGUCCUCCCAUCUCUCAUAUCAGACGUGAUAUAAAUGUCCUCCCAUCUCUCAUAUCAGACGCGUGUUAUAAAUGUCCUCCCAUCUCUCAUAUCAGACGUGUUAUAAAUGUCCUCCCAUCUCUCAUAUCAGACGUGUUACAAAUGUCCUCCCAUCUCUCAUAUCAGACGUGUUAUAAAUGUCCUCCCAUCUCUCAUAUCAGACGUGUUAUAAAUGUCCUCCCAUCUCUCAUAUCAGACGUGUUAUAUAUGUCCUCCCAUCUCUCAUAUCAGACGUGUUAUAAAUGUCCUCCCAUCUCUCUUAUCAGACGUGUUAUA